rnacentral:lncRNA from 1 species
CCUAUUGCCACUGUCCUGAGAAAGGGUCUACGAAUGUCUGAGUCUCAGUCUCCUCCUCGACUCACAUAAUCUAGGUUUAAAUCUAGCUUUGUCACCUCGUGGCUGUGUGAUUUUUGACAAGUUACUUAAACCUGAUCCGCAGGUACUACAGCUUUAAAAUGGGGCCAACAGAAGUACCUUGAACGCAGGUGUUGCUCAGAUUUCAGGCAAUAAGCAUGAAGUGCUCACCACAGCUUCUGAUCUAUCAUCAGAGCUCGUCUCCUUGUGGUUGCUCCUGCUCUUACGAGUCGGCAUAGAAAGGAGGCUGGUGUUCCAGGCUCACCCUGGUGGCCCGUCCCAAUUGUUGCAUUCACAGGGGCAUUUAAGAGGUAUAAUGAUUUAAUUCCAUGGAGCGACUCUAAUCUUGGGCAUACUGAAGAGAAACUUUGGCGGGGCUUGGUGUCUUCCACCCUCCUCACCUUCAUCCUGUGGCUGACUGCCGAAGGAUAGAACCAACCUGUCUGGACCAACGCUGUGAUUGCCUCCUGAUGUAGUCGUGUUCCUAUGCUGAGGCUAGUUGAAGAAACUGAAGCUAGAAAAUUAAAGCCACAAAGCUAGGAGGCGAUGCAGCAGAAAUUUGAACCCAGGACAUGCUGGUGCGACUGCAAACCCAAGUGAUUUCCACUCUCUGUGCUGCCUCCCUGGAAGGCCUGAAUGCACUCUUGACGGGCUGUGUUGGGUCGUGAGCAUCAGUCUGGCUCAUGGCUUCCUUCAGUGCAGAGGAAGUUAACACCGGAGGGAACAGAUGAGCGGAUAAUGUGAGCCUGGAAAUAUGACUUUGCUGCACUUCACCAGAUGAGUUCGAGCGGAAUACCAGAUGGUGCUACCUCAUUUGUGUUUUUACAAAUAUGCAAUUCUUUUAUUUUUUUAAAGAAGAAAUAGAGAUCAUGUUGGUCCCAGGAAAAUAUAAAAAUUCUUAUGUUUUGCUGCAAUGUUGCCUUGUUGUCCUAUCUCAUAUAAGGAUGAUAUAAGCCUUAUUACAACAUAUAUGUGUGUUUUAAGAUUUUUAUAAUACUUUGUUUAAAAUACCCCUGUAUUUUUCCUGUUAUAAAGCAAUAUGUGUUCAUACUAAAACAUUUAGAACAUAUAGAUAAGUAAUAAUACUACCAUACUGAAUUGGCGACUGUUAACUAUUUGGUGCAUAUCCUUUCAUAAAUAUAUUGAUGCAUUUUUCUCAAGAGCUCCACUUUUAAAAUGUUCUUAACUGUACCAAAGAUGCUGAUUGGACAAAUGUUUCUUUAGGCUUUAUGAUCUUCUCAACAAACACUUUUAUUCAUCUCAUUACCGGGCACUCCUGUCCACACAAUUGCUCAUGCUGGAUAUCUAGCAGUCAGUUUUGGUACCUCCUUCUCCCCUCACCUCCCACAUCUGAUCUGUUACCAAGUCCUAUUGAUUCUACCUGUCUUCAUCCACCUUGCUGCAUCUCCACUGCCAUCACGUGCUUACUGGCCCAUGCAAAUAUUUCUUGCUGCCUGGAAUGCUCCCCUUUGUUCAUCUCCGUACCUCUUGCUCUCCCGAGGCCCCUUCCCUCUUGUCUUCACCUUCCUAAUAACUGCUUGCCCUUUAGAUUUCAUUUUUUGGUAUCAUUUCUUCCAGGAAACCCUUUCUGAUAAACCCAUCCAGACUGGAUUUGGUAUGUCUUCUGUAUGCUUUCUUAGCACCAUAUAUACGUCUCUAUUAUGCCACUUUUCACCCUGGAACUGCACCCUGUUUACCUUGCCGUGUUCCUCACUGUGUUCACUUAGCAAGUGCCUGCCCUUGCAGGUGAUUGAUACGUAUUGUUGGAUGGAUGAAUGGGCAUAGUAGGAAAUUAGGUUUAAUGGGAUCAGUUUUGGCCUCUGAGAACCAUAUUGAUUUUUGAGUAAAGGAGUGAUGCAGAAACACCUGACUUUAGAACUGGUAGUUUAUGGAGGACAAAUUGAAAAGAAAUGAGGUAAACUAAAGAGUACUACCAGGAGAUUGCUGCCUGAUUGAAGGGGAAAGUACCAACAACAUUGACUCUUGUUAUUGGGAAUAGGAAGGUACGAAUAUGAGGUCCCUCAAAUGAAUA